rnacentral:rRNA from 1 species
GACAGAGGAGCCAAGCGUUGUCCGGACUGACUGGGCGUAAAGCGCCCGCAGGCGGUGCGGCAAGUGGGAUGUGAAAGCGGCCGGCUUAACCGGCCGAGGCCACCCCAGACUGCCGCGCUCGAGCCAUGCAGAGGGUGGUGGAAGUGCCGGUGUAGUGGUGAAAUGCGUAGAGAUCGGCCCGAACACCGAGGGGGAAGCCAGCCACCUGGGCAUGGGCUGACGCUGAGGGGCGACAGCGUGGGGAGCGAACUGG